AGACUAGCAGACUACCUGGCGUUGCUUGGUCUUUCUACCUAAACCUUGUGGGAGAGACACUCUUAUCUUCAUAUCCCAUCCUCAAGAUUCUGAUAAAGGAAUUAAAUGAAUUGCCCUUUUAGCUUUCCAUUAAACUGAACAAUAAUGUAUCCAGUAAACUGCCAGAUUAAAUGAAGCAGGAGGGAUUUGCCAGCAAAAACUGAAUAAAGUGUCUUCCCCUAAUGGCAUUCAAUAAUCAGAGUUAUAGGUUAUAUAAAUGGAUCAUACGUGACUGCAAAGACUUCAGAGGGAGAAUGCUGCAAUGAGGAUGUGGCACAGAUUACAUCCAGGCAUGUGUUGUAUAUUUGGAAGAAUACGUUACCUCUCUGUGGUGUA